UCUAUUCGGUUGGUGCAAAAUUAAUUGUGGUAUUGGCCAUUACUUUUAAUGGCUAAAAUCGCAAUUACUUUUGCACCAACCUAAUAAUU
rnacentral:miRNA from 10 species